AACGAACGCUGGCGGCAGGCUUAACACAUGCAAGUCGAACGCAUCGCAAGAUGAGUGGCAGACGGGUGAGUAACGCGUGGGAACAUACCCUUUUCUACGGAAUAGCUCUGGGAAACUGGAAUUAAUACCGUAUACGCCCUACGGGGGAAAGAUUUAUCGGGGAAGGAUUGGCCCGCGUUGGAUUAGCUAGUUGGUGGGGUAAAGGCCUACCAAGGCGACGAUCCAUAGCUGGUCUGAGAGGAUGAUCAGCCACAUUGGGACUGAGAUACGGCCCAAACUCCUACGGGAGGCAGCAGUGGGGAAUAUUGGACAAUGGGCGCAAGCCUGAUCCAGCCAUGCCGCGUGAGUGAUGAAGGCCUUAGGGUUGUAAAGCUCUUUCACCGAUGAAGAUAAUGACGGUAGUCGGAGAAGAAGCCCCGGCUAACUUCGUGCCAGCCGCCGCCGUAAGAC
rnacentral:rRNA from 1 species